rnacentral:rRNA from 1 species
UAGCCAUGGGCAGGUUGAAGGUUGGGUAACACUAACUGGAGGACCGAACCGACUAAUGUUGAAAAAUUAGCGGAUGACCUGUGGCUGGGGGUGAAAGGCCAAUCAAACCGGGAGAUAGCUGGUUCUCCCCGAAAGCUAUUUAGGUAGCGCCUCGUGAAUUCAUCUCCGGGGGUAGAGCACUGUUUCGGCUAGGGGGCCAUCCCGGCUUACCAACCCGAUGCAAACUGCGAAUACCGGAGAAUGUUAUCACGGGAGACACACGGCGGGUGCUAACGUCCGUCGUGAAGAGGGAAACAACCCAGACCGCCAGCUAAGGUCCCAAAGUCAUGGUUAAGUGGGAAACGAUGUGGGAAGGCCCAGACAGCCAGGAUGUUGGCUUAGAAGCAGCCAUCAUUUAAAGAAAGCGUAAUAGCUCACUGGUCGAGUCGGCCUGCGCGGAAGAUGUAACGGGGCUAAACCAUGCACCGAAGCUGCGGCAGCGACACUGUGUGUUGUUGGGUA